GCGAGAGUGGCGGAACUGGUAGACGCAGUCGGCUCAAAAUCGACCGCCGCAAGGCAUAGGGGUUCGAGUCCCCUCUUUCGCACCA
rnacentral:tRNA from 15 species